GACGAACGCUGGCGGCGUGCUUAACACAUGCAAGUCGAACGAUGAAGCCCAGCUUGCUGGGUGGAUUAGUGGCGAACGGGUGAGUAACACGUGAGUAACCUGCCCUCCACUCUGGGAUAACUCCGGGAAACCGGUGCUAAUACUGGAUAUGACUGCUGCCUGCAUGGGUGGUGGUGGAAAGAUUUAUCGGUGGUGGAUGGACUCGCGGCCUAUCAGCUUGUUGGUGGGGUAAUGGCCUACCAAGGCGACGACGGGUAGCCGGCCUGAGAGGGUGACCGGCCAAACUGGACUGAGACACGGCCCAGACUCCUACGGGAGGCAGCAGUGGGGAAUAUUGCACAAUGGGCGGAAGCCUGAUGCAGCGACGCCGCGUGCGGGAUGACGGCCUUCGGGUUGUAAACCGCUUUCAGCUCUGACGAAGCAUUUGUGACGGUAGGAGCAGAAGAAGCACCGGCUAACUACGUG
rnacentral:rRNA from 1 species